GGUGAACGCUGGCGGCGUGCUUAAGACAUGCAAGUCGAACGCAGUCUUCGGACUGAGUGGCGCACGGGUGAGUAACACGUAACUGACCUACCCCCAAGUCGCGGAUAACUGGCCGAAAGGUCAGCUAAUACGUGAUGUGAUGUCCCCUUUCUGGGGGGCCAUUAAAGGUUUACUGCUCGGGGAUGGGGUUGCGUUCCAUCAGCUAGUUGGCGGGGUAAAGGCCCACCAAGGCAACGACGGAUAGCCGGCCUGAGAGGGUGGCCGGCCACAGGGGCACUGAGACACGGGUCCCACUCCUACGGGAGGCAGCAGUUAGGAAUCUUCCACAAUGGGCGAAAGCCUGAUGGAGCGACGCCGCGUGAGGGAUGAAGGUUCUCGGAUCGUAAACCUCUGAAUCAGGGACGAAAGACGCGUAAGCGGGAUGACGGUACCUGAGUAAUAGCACCGGCUAACUACGUGCCAGCAGCCGCCGUAA
rnacentral:rRNA from 1 species